AUCUAAUUGUAUUUUCUGCCUCAAGGGACUGAGAAGCUCCCAAUAAAAUUUUCCUGAGUGUGUCUCUCAGCACCAGCUGAUGGAAGUGAUGUGACUGGGGGGACUGAGACAGCCUAGGUCUCAGAGCAGAUGGUAGUCUGAGAGGGACAGAAUGAGAGGGAGCAGGAGAAAGAAGUGAAUAAAUAAGAAUGCAUCUGGAGAAUGAGGCAUCUUGGAAUCUGGAAAGUGAGGCAUCCUGGAAGAGAGAUGAAAAUGGAGUCUCUCUCUGUUGCCCAGGCUGGACUGCAAGGGCAUGAUGUCGGCUCACUGCAAACUCCACCUCCUGGGCUCAGGUGAUUCUCCUGUCUCAGCCUCCAAAAUAGCUAGGAUUACAGGUUCAAGCUACAAGAUGUCCAGAAACAAAUGCAAAGAGGAAGUAAUGAAAUGAAAAUGUGCAAAAGUCAUCAAGAUUCUUAUUUGAUUACAGCAAAUAUUUGGCAAGUUGGAAGUAUGCUAUACCUUCUAUACCUAUAAUGUGCCAGAAAUAACUAAACACUUUAUAUUUCUCUUUAAAUCCAGUAAUAAUCCAUUAAAGAAAUAAAGACCCCAAUAUGCAGGCAAGUAAAUCAACUGUCAAGUAUACAAGCUAAUAAAUUUCCCAGGAUGAAUUUAGAUUUUUUUAUUUCAAGCAAAAUUUACAAAAAGUUAAAUGCAUAGAUCUUCAGUGUACAAUGAGUUUAGCAACUAUAUACAUCUAUGUAAACAACACUACUAUCAAAAUGAAGAAUGUUUUUAUCACCUAGAAAAUUACCUCAUGUCCCCUUCUAGUCAAUUCACUCACCACAGGCAACAACAAUGGUUCUGAUUUCUAUCACCAUGCACUAGACCUUCACAUCUUAGGACAUCAUAUAGUGCUUUCUCAUUCGUUUCUUGCUAGUUUGUGCAGUAUCAUUUUUUUAAAAAAAUCCAUUCAUAUGGUUCCAUGUUAUUAGUAAUUUGUUACUUUGAUGUAGCUGAGGAGUAUUCCAUUAUAUGAAUAUACCACAAUUUAUGUACCCAUUGUACUCUUGACAUUGGAUAUUGUUAGCAAAGCCUUUGGCUAUCAGUAAAGCUGCUAUAAACAUGCUCCAGUCUUGUAGGAACAUUUUCAUUUCUCGUAGGUAAAUACUUAGGGAUGGAAUUUCUGAGUCAUGGCAGAGGUAUAUGGUUAACUUCAUGAAAAUUAUCAAGGCAUUUUCCAAACUGGCUGUUCUAUUACCUAAUUCCCCUGAAUAAAAUCUGGGAGGUCCACUUACUCCACAUCCUCACCAACAUUUGUUGUUGCUGCAACAAAGUGGUGCAAUAUUUUAUUUUUAUUUUAGUUUACAUUUCUCUGAUGACUAAUGAUAUGAGGCAAGUUUUCAUGUGCAAUUCACCAUUUUUUUUGAAAUGUCCAAAACUUACUUUCAGUUGUAAAAAAUAAUAAUAAUAAAAUAAAAACAGUAUCUUUUUAUGAAUCAUUUGUUCUUAUUCUGGGUCAAGUUAAUAAUAGAAUAUACAUGCAAAUAUUUUUCCCACAUUGUAGCUAAACUUUUAAUUUUCUUUUGAUAAGCAGAGAAUUUGUUUUAUUUUGGUGAAAUCCAAUUUAUUGGUUUUUUGCAGUGUUUAUUAUUUCAUCUCUAUAAAAUUUUGCCUAACCUAAGAUCAUAAUAGCCUUCUGUGUUUUUUUCUUCACAAAAUCUUUACAACUUUAGCUUUUAUAAUUGGGUUUAUAAUUUAUCUACAUUAAUUUUGUGAAUAUUGUGAAUUGUGGCUAAUAUUCAUUAUAUUUCCAUGUAUAUCCAUUUAUCCCAGCACUGUUUGUUCAAAGACUUUCCAUUGAAGUGCCUUUGAGCUUUCGUUGAAAUUAACUCACUAUACAUGUAUGGAUUUAUUUCUGAGCUCUGCUUUGUCCCAUUGGCCAGCUUGUAUAUCCUUAUGCUGAAACAAUACUGCCUCUUGAUUAUUAUGGCUUGCUGCAGGUCUUCAUAACAAGUAAUAUAACUCAAUUGAAUUUGUUCUUUUUCAAGAUGGCUUUGGAAAUUCUAUAUUUCUUGUAUUUUCAUAUAAAUUGUAGAAUAAAGUCUAUUUCAACAAAAAGUGCAAAUUUCAUUUAGUGCAUAAUUAGGUCUAAACCAACAAUAUCAAAUCUGCCACUUCAUU